UGGGGAAUAUUGGACAAUGGGCGAAAGCCUGAUCCAGCCAUGCCGCGUGUGUGAAGAAGGUCUUCGGAUUGUAAAGCACUUUAAGUUGGGAGGAAGGGCAGUUACCUAAUACGUAAUUGUUUUGACGUUACCGACAGAAUAAGCACCGGCUAACUCUGUGCCAGCAGCCGCGGUAAUACAGAGGGUGCAAGCGUUAAUCGGAAUUACUGGGCGUAAAGCGCGCGUAGGUGGUUCGUUAAGUUGGAUGUGAAAGCCCCGGGCUCAACCUGGGAACUGCAUUCAAAACUGUCGAGCUAGAGUACGGUAGAGGGUGGUGGAAUUUCCUGUGUAGCGGUGAAAUGCGUAGAUAUAGGAAGGAACACCAGUGGCGAAGGCGACCACCUGGACUGAUACUGACACUGAGGUGCGAAAGCGUGGGGAGCAAACA
rnacentral:rRNA from 1 species